rnacentral:rRNA from 1 species
GAUGAACGCUGGCGGCGUGCCUAAUACAUGCAAGUCGAGCGAACAGACGAGGAGCUUGCUCCUCUGACGUUAGCGGCGGACGGGUGAGUAACACGUGGAUAACCUACCUAUAAGACUGGGAUAACUUCGGGAAACCGGAGCUAAUACCGGAUAAUAUAUUGAACCGCAUGGUUCAAUAGUGAAAGACGGUUUUGCUGUCACUUAUAGAUGGAUCCGCGCCGCAUUAGCUAGUUGGUAAGGUAACGGCUUACCAAGGCAACGAUGCGUAGCCGACCUGAGAGGGGGAUCGGCCACACGGGAACUGAGACACGGUCCAGACUCCUAAGGGAGGCAGCAGUAGGGAAUCUUCCGCAAUGGGCGAAAGCCUGACGGAGCAACGCCGCGUGAGUGAUGAAGGUCUUCGGAUCGUAAAACUCUGUUAUUAGGGAAGAACAAAUGUGUAAGUAACUAUGCACGUCUUGACGGUACCUAAUCAGAAAGCCACGGCUAACUACGUG